rnacentral:rRNA from 1 species
CUACGGGGGGCUGCAGUGAGGAAUAUUGCACAAUGGGGGGAACCCUGAUGCAGCAACGCCGCGCGGAGGAUGACGCAUUUCGGUGUGUAAACUCCUUUUAUAUGUCAAGAAAAUGACGGUAGCAUAUGAAUAAGCACCGGCUAACUCCGUGCCAGCAGCCGCGGUAAUACGGAGGGUGCAAGCGUUACUCGGAAUCACUGGGCGUAAAGGACGCGUAGGCGGGUUGGAAAGUCAGGUGUGAAAUCCUACGGCUUAACUGUAGAACUGCACUUGAAACUUCUAAUCUAGAGUAUGGGAGGGGGAGAUGGAAUUAGUGGUGUAGGGGUAAAAUCCGUAGAUAUCACUAGGAAUACCUAAAGCGAAGGCGAUCUCCUGGAACAUUACUGACGCUAAGGCGUGAAAGCGUGGGGAGCAAACAGGAUUAGAUACCCGAGUAGUC